rnacentral:rRNA from 1 species
GUAGUCAUAUGCUUGUCUCAAAGAUUAAGCCAUGCAUGUCUAAGUAUAAGCAAUUUAUACAGUGAAACUGCGAAUGGCUCAUUAAAUCAGUUAUCGUUUAUUUGAUAGUUCCUUUACUACAUGGUAUAACUGUGGUACUUCUAGAGCUAAUACAUGCUUAAAAUCUCGACCUUACGGAAGAGAUGUAUUUAUUAGAUAAAAAAUCAAUGUCUUCGGACUCUUUGAUGAUUCAUAAUAACUUUUCGAAUCGCAUGGCCCUGUGCUGGCGAUGGUUCAUUCAAAUUUCUGCCCUAUCAACUUUCGAUGGUAGGAUAGUGGCCUACCAUGGUUUCAACGGGUAACGGGGAAUG